rnacentral:rRNA from 1 species
GAUGAACGCUGGCGGCGUGCCUAAUACAUGCAAGUCGAGCGAACAGACGAGGAGCUUGCUCCUCUGACGUUAGCGGCGGACGGGUGAGUAACACGUGGAUAACCUACCUAUAAGACUGGGAUAACUUCGGGAAACCGGAGCUAAUACCGGAUAAUAUAUUGAACCGCAUGGUUCAAUAGUGAAAGACGGUUUUGCUGUCACUUAUAGAUGGAUCCGCGCCGCAUUAGCUAGUUGGUAAGGUUACGGCUUACCAAGGCAACCAUGCGUAGCCGACCUGCGAGGGUGAUCGGCCACCCUGGAGCUUGGACACGGUCCAGAGUCCUACGGGAGGCAGCAGUAGGGAAUGUUCCGCAAAGGUCGAAAGCCUGGCGGAGCAACGCCGCGUGAGUGAUGAAAGUCUUCGGAUCGUAAUACUCUGUUAUGAGGGAAGAACAAAUGUGUAAGUAACUAUGCACGUCUUGACGGUACCGGGUCAGAAAGCCACGGCUAACUACGUG